rnacentral:lncRNA from 1 species
UGGGGUGGCAUAGCAAGAACAGUUGAAGGCAGGAAGUGGGAAAGCAUUCUGGUUACUGUCAUGCCAAGGGUCAGCGGCCAACAGUCCGGGAGAGUCUCCUUGCAUCUGUCUUCCUCUAACAAGAGGAUGGGUGUGUGUGGCCCAUAAAUCAACUGGACGCACUUCCCUUUGUUUGCACGCUGCCACCGACACAGGCUUGCUACGAAGAAGAAGAAAUUUUGCUCAGAGGAAACUAGAAAACCUGAAUGUGUACACAAUGCUGACAUAUUUUGUUGCUUUCACCCCUC